rnacentral:misc_RNA from 1 species
GAUGAAGAACGUAGCAAAAUGCGAUAAGUAAUGUGAAUUGCAGAAUUCAGUGAAUCAUCGAAUCUUUGAACGCACAUUGCGCCCGCUGGUAUUCCGGCGGGCAUGCCUGUUCGAGCGUCAUUUCAACCCUCAAGCCCCCGGGUUUGGUGUUGGGGAUCGGCUCUGCCCUUCUGGGCGGUGCCGCCCCCGAAAUACAUUGGCGGUCUCGCUGCAGCCUCCAUUGCGUAGUAGCUAACACCUCGCAACUGAACGCGGCGCGGCCAUGCCGUAAAACCCCAACUUCUGAAUGUUGACCUCGGAUCAGGUAGGAAUACCCGCUGAACUUAAGCAUAUCAAUAAGCGGAGGA